CUGGUGACUGAAGGAAGAGGUGUCUGUGAGGUGGCAGAUGGAUUGCACAUCUCUUCUAGGGGAGAACAAUUUCUGGGCCCUUAGUGAACUUUAACUAUUUUUCUUCUCCUGAACACUCAUCUCCUUAGCGUGCUCUCUCUUUGUUUCUUCUCUGGCUGAGCUCAGCCCCAGUGUCUCUGCUUAUGGGUGUUCCCCUCCCCCCACCCUCUUCCAUCUUCCCUGGUUCCUAUCCGGGGAUAGGCAGUGAUUGAAAUUAUUGAUUCAAUCAGUUUAUUCUCCUGCCGAGUUGCUUCAGAGCUGGAUCGCUGAUUCAGGCUGGGCCUCAGCACAGCCCACUGGCUGCCUCUGCUUAAUGCCAGGGGCAAUUGGAACCGCAGAACCUCCUGGAGUGUCAUCAUCGAUGCAGACCUGAGGACUUGACUGUGAAUGGGCUUGCUGUUUCAGCGGCUGCUCCUGAAUCCCAGCAAAGACAUGCACUGUGCCAGCUCUUUAGGUUUGGUCUGGUUUGCUUUGAAUAUCACAAACAGUGAGACAAGCCUGCUGCUCCUUAGAACUUCAGCUGGAGAAGCUCAAUCAUGAAUGCACCCCCUGCAUGAGAACCAACUUUGGAUUUGUAUGUCAGACUAAACCAACACUUCCAUCUUGGAUUUCUUCACAUCUAAGUGCAGUUUGCCACUCUCUGGAAAAUGCUCGGUCUUGGUUUUGCUCGCAGACAGUGGACACAGCAGACCUAGUUGGUGGUGGAUCCACACGGACUGGCACGUUCCAGAACUUUCUCACGUAAAAGCCUCUGGAAAUCCAAAUAUUUACAGUCCUGCACAGAGAAGAAACUUAAGGUGGUGAACGUAAUGAAUAUCCAGCCCCAUGGAAUUAUAGGAUGGACAGUUUCCCCGGCAGAUUCAACAGUGGUCACGAUAAGAAUAAUCAAUACAAAUUAGGGGACAGGCUUCUGUUUUAAUGCACUUAGUAACCAGAUCUCUCAUCCUCAAAUAAGUCCAACAGAGGACCACGAGCUCCUAAGCGCUGUUGUGUAGGAGUGUGUGUGUGUGUGUGUGUGUGUGUGUGUGUGUGUUCCCUUUCCUCUGAGGGAUUCUAUAACCCCCUUCAUUCUCCGCCUCUCUCAUGUUACAGAAAGGAGGUAAUUUUUCCUGGCCAUUUACUAAAGCUCAUUAAAGACUGACGAGAACAAACAAUGGUACUCCUCAGAGACGACCAUUCAAAGUCACUCUACAAUUCUGGGUUCUAAUACUUGAGACAAAUUAAUUAUUCCUUAGUGAAAAGUAUAUAAUUCCUAUUCUUCAUUUUUGGGGGGCGGGGUGGGGAAUAAUAAUGGGGGGUUUCUAUCUGAGUGAAAAGCUGCCCGUGCUGAAGGGAAAUAAGGAAAAAAAUGUGCGUUCUGAGAGGGAGCCAAAGCAAUUAUUCUGAUAAUAAUUCUAAGAAUAUUAAUGUCUUUUAAAAGUAGAUUGCCUUCAAAUAAACA
rnacentral:lncRNA from 1 species